UAGGGAAUCUUCCGCAAUGGGCGAAAGCCUGACGGAGCAACGCCGCGUGAGUGAUGAAGGUCUUCGGAUCGUAAAACUCUGUUAUUAGGGAAGAACAAAUGUGUAAGUAACUAUGCACGUCUUGACGGUACCUAAACAGAAAGCCACGGCUAACUACGUGCCAGCAGCUGCGGUAAAACGUAGGUGGCAAGCGUUAUCCGGAAUUAUUGGGCGUAAAGCGCGCGUAGGCGGUUUUUUAAGUCUGAUGUGAAAGCCCACGGCUCAACCGUGGAGGGUCAUUUUAAACUGGAAAACUUAAGUGCAGAAGAGGAAAGUGGAAUUCCAUGUGUAGCGGUGAAAUGCGCAGUGUUAUGGAGUAACACCAGUGGCGAAGGCGACUUUCUGGUCUGUAACUAACGCUGAUGUGCGAAAGCGUGGGGAUCAAACAGG
rnacentral:rRNA from 1 species